AUAAUCCUGCGGUGUGCGUUGCGUUUCUGUUAUAAACCGACGCAACUACAAAGGGAGCGGAAGUUGGUAGAUGGAUGCCACCGGGUAACGUGCUUUCUGCGCCGACGGUAAGCCGAGGAUCUAUCACGCCGCACCCACCUGCUUAAAGGCGGGUGUUAUAAUGGGGCGGACGGCAUCUUGGGAUUUUU
rnacentral:other from 1 species